UACGAAGGGGGCUAGCGUUGCUCGGAAUUACUGGGCGUAAAGGGCGCGUAGGCGGCUUGGUCAGUCAGGCGUGAAAUUCCUGGGCUUAACCUGGGGACUGCGCUUGAUACGGCCAGGCUUGAGGAUGGAAGAGGGUCGCGGAAUUCCCAGUGUAGAGGUGAAAUUCGUAGAUAUUGGGAAGAACACCGGUGGCGAAGGCGGCGACCUGGUCCAUUACUGACGCUGAGGCGCGACAGCGUGGGGAGCAAACAGG
rnacentral:rRNA from 1 species